CCUGGUGGCUCAGGUGGUAAAGAAUCUGCCUGCAACGCAGGAGACCCAGGUUCAAUCCCUGGGUCAGGA
rnacentral:tRNA from 1 species